UAGGGAACCUUCCACAAUGGGCGAAAGCCUGAUGGAGCAACGCCGCGUGUGUGACGAAGGGUUUCGGCUCGUAAAACACUGUUGUAAGAGAAGAAUGACAUUGAGAGUAACUGUUCAAUGUGUGACGGUAUCUUACCAGAAAGGAACGGCUAAAUACGUGCCAG
rnacentral:rRNA from 1 species